AAAAACUUGUAUGAGCACAAACAAGUUUGACUGCCUCCAUUGACCGAGGUCAAAGUCACAUCAACGCCUCUCGGGCUAAAUUUAAUCUCAAAAGGUGCCGUGUAUCUCAUAAUUGAAUUCUGAGAUGACGGCGUAUGAUAACUCCAACACCCAGCUUACGUUACCAUUUGCCCGCACGGGCAUUCCGACUUGCCACCAGCAGGUCGACAAAUUUGCUUUCAUUUCUCUAUGAAAUACGCAAGCUGCUAGCUUG
rnacentral:lncRNA from 1 species